GACGGGGGGUCCAAGCGUUGUUCGGAAUCAUUGGGCGUAAAGCGGGCGUAGGUGGUCUUGCAAGUCAGGAGUGAAAGCCCGGGGCUCAACCCCGGAACUGCCUUUGAUACUGGGUAUCUCGAGUCCGAGAGAGGUGAGUGGAAUUCCGAGUGUAGAGGUGAAAUUCGUAGAUAUUCGGAAGAACACCAGUGGCGAAGGCGACUCACUGGACACGUAUUGACGCUGAGGUGCGAAAGCGUGGGGAGCAAACAGG
rnacentral:rRNA from 1 species